rnacentral:rRNA from 1 species
UACGUAGGGACCAAGCGUUGUCCGGAAUUAUUGGGCGUAAAGAGCUCGUAGGCGGUUCGGUAAGUCGGGUGUGAAAAUCCAGGGCUCAACCCUGGGACGCCACCCGAUACUGCUGUGACUAGAGUCCGGUAGAGGAGCGUGGAAUUCCUGGUGUAGCGGUGAAAUGCGCAGAUAUCAGGAGGAACACCAGCGGCGAAGGCGGCGCUCUGGGCCGGUACUGACGCUGAGGAGCGAAGGCGUGGGGAGCAAACAGG